GGGGGUGGAUGGUACCUGGUGGUGCUCCCGGUCUUCAAAACCGGUCGUUGGGCGGCGUUCCCGUCCAUGGUGAGUUCGAUUCUCACACACUCCC
rfam:Desulfotomaculum acetoxidans DSM 771, complete genome.